CAAUAGCGUAUAUUAAAGUUGUUGCGGUUAAAAAGCUCGUAGUUGGAUUUCUGUCGAAGACGGUCGGUCCGCUCUAUGAGCGAGUAUCUGAUUCGGCUUUGGCAUCCUCGUGGGGAACGUAACUGUGCUUGAUUGCAUGGUGCGGAAUUCACGACUUUUACUUUGAGGAAAUUAGAGUGUUCACGGCAGGCAAGCGCCUUGAAUAUAUUAGCAUGGAAUAAUAAUAUAGGACUUUGGUUCUAUUUUGUGGUUUCUAGAGCUAAAAUAAUGAUUAAUAGGGACAAUUGGGGGCAUUCGUAUUAAUGCGUCAGAGGUGAAAUUCUUGGAUUGCAUUACGACGAACUACUGCGAAAGCAUUUGCCAAGGAUGUUUUUCAUUGAUCAAGAACGAAAGUAAGGGGAUCGAAGACGAUUAGAU
rnacentral:rRNA from 1 species